rnacentral:rRNA from 1 species
UACGUAGGGUCCGAGCGUUGUCCGGAAUUAUUGGGCGUAAAGCGCGCGUAGGCGGCUUUGCAAGUCGGGUGUGAAAUCCCCAGGCUUAACCUGGGAACUGCAUUCGAGACUGCAUUGCUAGAGUUCGGUAGGGGAGACUGGAAUUCCUGGUGUAGCGGUGAAAUGCGCAGAUAUCAGGAGGAACACCGGUGGCGAAGGCGGGUCUCUGGGCCGAUACUGACGCUGAGGAGCGAAAGCGUGGGGAGCGAACAGG